UCUGCAGCGAAGGAGCUGUGUCACAUGCGCUUGCGCACCUGAGACCUCUGCCGCAGGCCACUAACGACUUUGUGUCGCGUCACAGCUCUCAUCAGCGAUCAGCACGGACCCGUCUCUACGCCCCUUAUUUAGAGCGAUGCAGAAGCGUCUUGCGCGGCCCUCCUCAGUAGCAGCCGCGGCUUCCGUUCUUGGCGGGGUAUCGACACCGAUGGGCCCCUCAUCCUCGGGCUCCUCUGUUGCUGCACCUUUCAUGCGGCACUACCGCGCCGGCCUCCUCCGCAGCACGCCGGCCCGCCUCGCCAUGAACCUCCACGCGAGUGAUCUGUCUACUCCGGACAGAGCCACGGUGAACUCCGCCAACAAAAAGGAGUUCAAGACAGCUCUGUGCAACGAGCUGGUGAACAAGAUCACCGCGCAGGGGUACUACCCCAUGUCGCAGUUCGUCAAGGACUGCCUGACCCACCCCCAGUACGGCUACUACGCGGCAAAGAAAAACGUGAUUGGCAGCGAGAAGGCAGACUUCAUCACCGCAGCGGAGAUCCCGUUCUUUGGCGACGUGCUUGCCGCGUGGGUGAUGGACGCCUGGCAGAAGAUGGGUACACCGCGCGUGCUGCAUCUUGUGGAGAUGGGGCCGGGUCGCGGUACCCUCAUGAGGACAAUGCUGAAGCAGAUUCAAUACUCGAACCCGCAUCUGUUGCACUUUCUGCAGAUACACCUCGUCGAGGUCGGUGCCGCGCGGCGCGAGGAGCAGAAGAGAGCUCUGACCGAAUUCCAGACGGCUCAGGGCAAGAUCAAGUGGUGGAUGGACCUGGAAUCGCUGCCCUUUUCGCUCGAGCCAACCGUGUUCAUUGCGAACGAGUACUUUGAUGCGCUACCCGUGGCCCAGUUCCGCUACACCGAACGGGGGUGGGUGGAGACGUGUGUGGAGGUAGAUACGGACCCCGGCACGGAGGCGCACUUCCGCCUUGUCCAUGCCCCGUCCGGGUCGAUGUCCGCCUAUCUCAUCCCUGACGACAUUCGCACCAAGGGCAAGACCGGCGACUGCGUGGAAGUGAACACGGUCGGGAUGCAGACGAUGGAGACGCUCAUGAAAAAGAUGAUAGACUGCCAGAAGGCUGCGUGCCUGCUGAUUGACUACGGCAAGGAUGAUCACAUGCACAGCACGCUGCGCGGAAUCCGUGGCCACCGCUUCGUCGACCCGCUGCUGUCGCCCGGCGAGGUGGAUCUCUCGUGCUGGGUGAGCUUCCGGCAGCUGCGUUGGGCCCUUGAGCGGCUGGAGGUGGCGCGGCGGCACCUCAAGUGGUUCCCGGUGAUGACGCAGCACGACUUCCUGCUCGAGAACGGCAUUGACAUUCGGCUGGCGCACGUGAUCAAGGACGAGGAGACGAAGACAGCAUUGAAAGUGCUGCAGAACUACCGGCGCUUGAUGGACAAGGAGGAGAUGGGAGAGAGCUACAAGGUGUUCGCGUUCCAGACCCGAAACUUCCCGAACGUGUCGCCUUUCUUUGCUGAGAUGCCUCUGCCUCCGCUGCCGCAGAGGGGUGACCGGUAGGCCGAUACAUGCAGUGUUGGGCGCCCUUUCAUGAAGCCUUCUUGUGCCUAGCUGGAUGAGGAGAGUUCG
rnacentral:misc_RNA from 1 species